rnacentral:rRNA from 1 species
GACGAACGCUGGCGGCGUGCCUAAUACAUGCAAGUAGAACGCUGAAGGAGGAGCUUGCUUCUCCGGAUGAGUUGCGAACGGGUGAGUAACGCGUAGGUAACCUGCCUGGUAGCGGGGGAUAACUAUUGGAAACGAUAGCUAAUACCGCAUAACAGUAGAUGUUGCAUGACAUUUGCUUAAAAGGUGCAAUUGCAUCACUACCAGAUGGACCUGCGUUGUAUUAGCUAGUUGGUGAGGUAACGGCUCACCAAGGCGACGGUACAUAGCCGACCUGAGAGGGUGGUCGGCCACACUGGGACUGGGACACGGCCCAGACUCCUACGGGAGGCAGCAGUAGGGAAUCUUCGGCAAUGGACGGAAGUCUGACCGAGCAACGCCGCGUGAGUGAAGAAGGUUUUCGGAUCGUAAAGCUCUGUUGUAAGAGAAGAACGAGUGUGAGAGUGGAAAGUUCACACUGUGACGGUAUCUUACCAGAAAGGGACGGCUAACUACGUG